rnacentral:rRNA from 1 species
GUGGGGAAUAUUGGACAAUGGGCGAAAGCCUGAUCCAGCCAUGCCGCGUGAGUGAUGAAGGCCUUAGGGUUGUAAAGCUCUUUCAGUAGGGAAGAUAAUGACGGUACCUACAGAAGAAGCCCCGGCUAACUUCGUGCCAGCAGCCGCGGUAAUACGAAGGGGGCUAGCGUUGUUAGGAUUUACUGGGCGUAAAGCGCACGUAGGCGGAUUGGUCAGUUAGAGGGGAAAUCCUGGAGCUCAACUCCAGAACUGCCUUUAAUACUGCCAGUCUAGAGUCCAGAAGAGGUGAGUGGAACUCCUAGUGUAGAGGUGGAAUUCGUAGAUAUUAGGAAGAACACCAGUGGCGAAGGCGGCUCACUGGUCUGGUACUGACGCUGAGGUGCGAAAGCGUGGGGAGCAAACAGGAUUAGAAACCCUUGUAGUCC